UACCGGCGACGAGGAAAUCGAUGAUAUGGUUGACGAAUUUUCGGAGACACAGGACGUGACGCAGGAAGUCGGAGAAGAGGAGGGCGACAAUUACGUCGAAGUUUCCUACUCACACACACCAGUUUUACCGCAGUCGUCGGAAUAUUAGAGAUACUUCCCGAGCGAAAAAAUAUCCCCGGCUCACGAUCGUAUGAAGCAGCUAAAGUACAAAUUGGUGGUGGUGCUGUUCAGCCCUCAGACGCUCUCCCUUCGCCUUCACAAAGGGGAGAUCGUCAACUAGCGUCACCCCCGCGAUCCCGUCAGUCGACACCGGCAUCGUCGCCGUCGACACCACCGACACCUCGUCAGACUCAAAAUGAAGAUCAGGAGCAGGAGCAUCAGCAACAGGAGCAACGAUGU